rnacentral:rRNA from 1 species
GUCCACGCCGUAAACGAUGGGCGCUAGGUGUGGGAGGUGUCGACUCCUCCCGUGCCGAAGCUAACGCAUUAAGCGCCCCGCCUGGGGAGUACGGCCGCAAGGCUAAAACUCAAAGGAAUUGACGGGGACCCGCACAAGCAGCGGAGCAUGUGGUUUAAUUGGAUGCGACGCCAAGAACCUUACCAAGGCUUGACAUGGUCGAGAAAGCUGGGGAAACCUAGUCCUCCUUCGGGACUCGAUCACAGGUGGUGCAUGGCUGUCGU